CGCAGCUCUUGUUUACCUAAUCUUGUUCAAUUUUGUAUUGUGGGUUUUUGUUGCUUUCUUAGUAAUGAACUCAACCCCAAAACCUGAAAUACAGCAUAAUGUACAAAUCAAGAACAGCUUAGUUGUUUAAUGUUCUUCAGGAAUCAGUUGUGAUAUUUCCUCAAUUAUAGUGUCUUUCCCCAUUGAAUGUCUAAUCUGAAUGAAGUGCAUAUAGAUAUAAGAAAUAGAAGCAAAGAUAGCAUUCCCAUCCCUGCUCGUUAUAGUCUCCUCCAAGGACUAAUACAGCAUCAAACUUGCAUUUUUGAUAUUUGAGCAGACAAAAAUCCUGAUAUUCACUAAAAACAAGAGAACAUUUAACUAGUUUAAAAACUCGAAUGCAGCUUAUGAUGAUUUGUAGGCAUCUCUCCAAGUAGCAACUCUUCAAUAGACUUUCAUUGAAAUGACGCAUUGUUGGGAUCAGCCAAUCAGGAUUGAGGCUGUGAUACGCCGUAGAGAAGCAACCCUAAUGGGGGAAGAGCUGAGGAAAUGAACUAAAUAAAU
rnacentral:lncRNA from 1 species